rnacentral:lncRNA from 1 species
GGGGAAUGAACUAAAAGGGAAUUUUCUAAAAAAGGGAAUAGUUUAAGUGGCAAGACUAAUAGAAAUAGAGCUAGGUAUGAAAUAUAAAUAUUUGAUUUGAAUAUGAUAAAAAAAUGAAAUGGCUAUCCAUGGGAAUUUAAUUAAAUCAAACCGUAAUCAAAUAAAGUGUUAGUUAAUUCAAUAACAAAGAAAUAAGGAGGAAAAGUGAGAGAAUGUCAAAUUUGGGCCUUUCGCCCAAAUUCUAAACCUGUCCUAAAAUUAAAACGCCCAAAACAUGAUUUUGGGCCGACUCAAUCAAUACUUUUGCUGCUGGGCCAUUCUUUGGGCCUGUUGAAAUUGUCUAAAGCUUUUGGACUCAUUUUUUGAAUUUGAUAUUUUGACCUGUAUCUCAAUUUUUCAGCAUGUGUUGCGUCCUUGAUUUUUGACCUGUUCAUCGACUUUCCGCAGGCUAACUCAAGGAAGAUGGAGAUAUGAGGGCCUUUAUGGCCCAUCCGGAAUGUGAAGGGAAGAAGAUAGGAGCCCAAGAGGACUCGGAGAUAAUCACAACAUACGAAAGAAAAUACAACAUUAGCAUCUGAGAUAAGGGAAUAAUGGAAAUAUGAUUUUAAUUCACAACAAAGCAAACUGGACAAUUCAAAAUGCAAGAGAAAGCUACCGCCAAUGAACUUUGACAAGUUUCCAAAUAAACACAAGAUUCAGAAAGAAGAGAAAGCACACAUUUGACAAGAGGAAGCCGCAUUUUUAUUUUUAUUUUUUUAGUUAAGCAAUAAAGGAGUACCGCUAUUUAUCACACUAGAAAAACACCUCACAUCAUUUAGACAAAUGUCAGCAAAGUAUAUCAAAUAACAUCCCAUAAUAUAGCAUGUUUGAAAUAUAAUAAAAUGUACGAAAUAUUCAAACCUAUGUGAGCUAUUUGCUAUUAUUAAUUGAAUACUUAAUAACCUACAGUGAAGCAAGAAAUGAACUAGACAAAAUCUGCAUCCGACUAGAAGAAAUAAUAAAAGUUAACAGGAAGACAACUUCACACAAUGGUUUACGUGAUCUCGAUUUUACACAUUACUAGAAAGCAACCAAAUAUAAAUGGACCUUAUUUGUUUCAAAACGAAAGCCAUAAAUACAACACAUCAAAACCAAGGGAAUACAUGGAGGGGGGCUGAAUAUUCGGCAAGACAUUCAAUGAGAAGUUAACACCAACGAAAUCGCACUUCAAAUGACCUUGAAUACUAAAUUCCAAUAAAACUAAAAUGGAAAAAUCAAAUAAGAAGCUCGGAUUUUAUAUCGAUUCGACUUGCAAAUAUGAGUAUUAGGACAAAAGAAAAUGCUAAUAAGACAUAUAGGCGAUAAGACAGUGAUCUUAACAGAGGAUUUGAGCUAAUCACAUGCUUGAGGAGUACUUUUAAUAUUUCUGUGAAUCAGUGGCAUAAAUACAGAAUUAUGUUUACAACAAUGGGAACCAAUCACAAUAAUGAACAUCCAGGCGGGCGACAAACAUGAUAAAUAACAAAAAAACGGACUAACUAGGCAAUGAGGGUGCAAUAUUCAAGAUUAUGUAGACAAAAUUUUUAACUAAAAAAUUGACAUCGAUUCCACCUAAUUUCAUCAUGAGAACAACCAAAUUAAUACCACAUGAACAGGAAGCAACACUUCACAUCGAAAUGGUCGAAACAACAGAACAACAUAACCAACUAAACAAACAAAUACAGAUCCAAAUUAAGACAUAGACUGUGAGAGGAGGGAAGCCGUAUACCUUUUUCGAGGCAGCAAACUGAACAAGACGAGCAGAGAGAUGAACUUUUCCACACAAACGCGAACCGAACGACAGAUGAGAGUCCUGAGCAGCUAACUUCGAAAAACAAACUAACUAGGAAGAACGGUUGAGAUCGAGCUAGACAAGUGAGAAUUGAACGAAAAUUGAUUCCUCUUGCCUCCUUCCGGAUAUAUUUUCUUUCUCCUAUAUCUCUUUUGCUAUGUGAUUUUUUUUUGCCUUAGUAAGUUUUCUCCCAAGAUUUCUCUCCGAAAUCCUCCUCUUAAAACAGUCAAGACGACAAAAUAUAUAAAGGACAAGAACUAGGGCAGAUUUGAGGGGAGAAUCCGAUAAAAUUCGGUUCAAAGGCCCAUUACAAAAUUCAAAAAAUCAAAAUCUUUCACCGAUCUGGACAAACACCUCUUUUUCUGAAAAUUUAACCCAUUCCGAAAGAGGAAGAGCGAAUUGACGCUUGGGAUCGAUCGACUCGUCCUUGGAGUGCUACGUGGCAGGAUCACGCGGCCACCAGGACGAUUUUCGCGUGCUGGCAGGUGCUGUACGACCUACUGGCGAGGCAAAAGAGAAACGACGAAACUGGAUGCCGUGUAGCUUCCGUGAAUCGCCGUGUAUUCUUUGCCAUUGUCGUGUAACCGCUGUGUUGCUAUUGUUCUGGAAAGCAGCGUUGCUGGGUCUUUUUUGGAGCUAAUGUAUUGGAUUAUUAGUGGGUGCAUAUUGUAUUGUUGGGAAUUGGUGGGCCGGGUCGAGGUUAUUGGGAUCAAUUGAAUUGGGAUCAAUUGAAUUGGGAAGAAGAAAAUCGGGCCUAGGAAUAAAGGGUGAGGAUUGGGCCUGCUGAAAACAGGUAAGAAAAAGCCCAAAUUUUGGUCUUUUGAUGGGUUUGAAGUGAGGUAGAAGAGUUGGCUAUGUUUGUAAUAGGAAUAAAACCAUGUGGAUUAAAGAUGUAACCAAAUUGAAUUGAUAGGAACGAAAUUGGUUAACCAUUAAAUAAAAUGAAUUAAUAUUAAUCAAUUAACAAGCUUCUUAAUCUCAACGAAAUAAAAUAAUCAACUUAAUUAUAAAUCAACUAUUUCAAAAAUAUAAACUAUUAUAUCUAGUUAAAAUAUAUAUAUAUAUAUAUAUAUAUGUAUAUAUAUAUUUAAUUUUAUGAAACUAAUUGUUUUAAAUCGUUUGAAGAUUAUGGAGCUCAAAAAUUAAUUACUAUCGGGGAGGGUCAAAAUUGGGUGUCAACAACUGUCCCUUGUUUGACUUGAAUUGAUGAAAGAAAUCCAAGGCAAAUGAAAUUGACAUAUCCAAUUUUGAUCGACCACAUUUCAUCUUUCAGAAAGAGCUUUUGGUAUGAACUUUAGGAAUUAUGGCCAAACCCCGGUAUUCGAGUUUCCUACAUAUCUCAGGCUAUAUGAGAACUCAGGUCACUUGUAGUUCGAUACGCUUGAUUUAAUGCACGAUUCUGAAAGAACUCAACAGUCACCCCGAUAUCGAAUUAUGAAGAGACCGGGACGCUUGGGAAUAAGAUUUGUGAGAUAAUGUUGGAAUACAACCGAGUUUUCAAUGUCGAUUCUGCCUACAUAUCCUUUAACUUAAGGAAUCAGGCUGCUUGUAGUUCGACUCAAUCGAUUGAAAAGGAAAUCUCUUAUGCUAAAAUAUCCUUCGAUCCUGAAGGAGUGACGAGGUAAGUCGAGUAUGAAAAGGAGGCUUGCAACCUUUUAGCCAUGAAUGUGGCGCGCUUCACACCCAUAAUUAAGAACUUACACGGACAUAAUUUCCAAAGCUCUUGGUGCAUUGUCACUCAGAUUGGAAAAUUGCUUUCGAUGGAGACCAAAAAAUCUCCGGAUGUGAAACUAGAACUGAUAAACUAAGAAAAACCCACAUGCCUUCUGAUAGGGAUGUGGUUUGAUUAUGGUGGAAGUCGCUCUUCUGCCCGCGUCCUAAGAGUUUGAUACUCCUCUUUGAACUAUGUCCCAGUUUGCUGCUACGAAAAAGUUCCACGUUGUGCUGCAUCCCUCUUGAUGUCGUCCGCACCUGUGGUCUGUUUUUGGAGAAUUCAUCCUUUUGGAUGCUCUCGACAAAGACUGAGAUAAAACUCGUUAGUAUAAAAAUGCAAUUCAAAUGGGAGACAGUGUCUUUUACCGUGUUGACACUUAACUUCUCUCAUUGAACGUUUGACGUCAACUCCAUCAGACUUGACGGAAAGCAAAUAAAGCUUCUGUCUCAUGUUUACAAUAUAAUCUUCCAUGUAUUCUUCCUUUGAUGUCAAAGUAAUAAAAUAGGCUGAUGUAAUAUGUUGACAGUUCUCUUGAUGUCGAUGUUUCUGUUGAUGUCGUUUUUGCAAAGAAAAAUGAUGUAGUCGAUGUUGAUUUUCUUGUGAUGGGUAAUUCUUUCUCUUGCGAUGCAUAACUUCUUUUCCGCGAUGCACGAAUCAUUCUCUUGCUAUGCAUGAAUCUCUUUCCCGCGAUGCAUGACUUUUUUCCGCGAUGCAUGAAUCCUUCUCUUGCUACGCAUGAAUCUCUUUCCCGCGAUGCAUGACUUUUUUCCGCGAUGCAUGAAUCCUUCUCUUGCUACGCAUGAAUCUCUUUCCCGCGAUGCAUGACUUUUUUCCGCGAUGCAUGAAUCCUUCUCUUGCUACGCAUGAAUCUCUUUCCCGCGAUGCAUGACUUUUUUCCGCGAUGCAUGAAUCCUUCUCUUGCUACGCAUGAAUCUCUUUCCCGCGAUGCAUGACUUUUCUCUUUCUAUGCAUGGAUUUCCUCUUGUUAUGCAUGAUUGUUGUGUCGUAAUUUGACUAUCUCUAGAAAAAUCACUUUUUUGAAAUGUUCUAAGUAUAAAACAAUUUGAAAAAUACUUAGAAAGAGUCGCCACUUAAUUUUUUAAAGAAAUUAAGAAAACUUAUAAAUUUCAAAGAUUUAAACAGAAAAAAUCAUUUGAAAAUACCAAAGAGGGUUUGGGGUUCAAUUUACACUUCGAGAAGGUUUUAAGCAUUCGAAGUGUCCGCUAACAUGCGAUUGACCUGCGACUUGACUAAAAUAUAUUUGACUAUUUUUAGAAAAAUAAUGAUUAAACAUAAAAAUAAUAACUUACAAUAUAUUCGAUUAACUUUGAAAAAAUAAUUAAGUAAAUGACACAUUUAUUUAUUUAUUUAUUUAUUUAUAUUUAUUAGAGAAAAGGAUCCAAAAUGAAACAUAUGACUCGAAAUACAAGUGAUUGGAAUAUUAAUAAAUCUAGAUUAAUUAGAAUUUAUUUAAUAACUUAAACCAAUUUAAUACAUUAAAGCAUGAAAAUCAUUUUUAAUUAAUUGAAGAAUAAAAGUUUUGACUAACCUUCUUGAGAAAAUGACUAAGUAAGUAUUUAUAAUAAUAUUUUACAUUAUUAGAUUAACUUUGAAAAAAUAGUUGAACAAAGAGCAACUUUUUUUUAUUAAGAAAAUUGGACCAUAAUUGAAACAUUUGAAUUAGAGACAAGUAAUUAGAAUUUUAAAGAAACUAAAUUAAUUGGUUUUUAUUUGAGUCAUUUUUUGGUUUAUGAAAAAAACUAUUUUAAACUGAUAAAAAUAAAAAAUAAAAAGUUUUGACUAAAGAUUAUAAAUGAAAAUACAAGAGUUGAUAAAAUGAGAUUUGUUAGAAAUACAACAACACAGAGAAAUAGUUCGUCUUUUGGGGAAUUCAACUAAGUUAAUUUACAAUUAUAAAGUUGGAGUCAAACAACAAACAAUAAAUAAUCACAAUUAAAUAAUUAAAGAGUAAGGGAGAAAUUGAAUUCGGGCCCCUUUUUGGCCAAUUUCGUUGUUGUUUUUGGAGUUUAACACAAUUCCCGUUUUUGUAUACAGCUGAUGUAUAUCAGUGUAUAUCAGCGUGUGUAUAGGCUCUUUUCAUGUAUCGCUUGCUUCCGAACACCUAUAUUUCACCUUAGCCCUGUAUUUUUGCGUUUUUGACCUGUAUAUGAGUGUAUACCGAUGUAUAUCAAUGUAUACAAACAGUCUCUCAUCCUAUUUUCAGCUUUUGUAUAUCAACUCCAAAGACUCGCUCUUCAAUUUAUCAAAGUUGGCUGACUCGUUAAGAGAUAAAAUUGGGCCUUUGACCCAACGAGGAGAUGCAAGGAGAGGAGAUAGGAGUUCAUGUUGAACUCCGAGCAAAUUUCACAUGUAACAAAACGGAGGUAAGGAUUAAUAUUUAUGCAUACAUAAAUAAGUCAAUUGCGACAUGAAGUUUCAACAACAUAUAACUUAUCAUUUAGACAACCAAUUACCAAAGAGAUAUGUAUCAUGCUUUAAACAAAUAAUAGGCAACCAUUAGUAGUAUUGGUGAACCUUAAUUUUCAAAUAAUGAAGAACGUGAGGUAGUAAAAUGGCCUACACAAUGAUGUGUUCAUAAUGGAAAACAUAUGUUUUUAAUGAUAAACAAGCUGCACAUUUGACCGACACACCUCACACAAUAUUCAAAAUUAAAACUAUCUGUAAGAGCCUAAAAUGCCAACUAAUCGCACAAAAAAAAAUAAGAAUAAAAAAUUAGAAUGCUAAAGGCACUUAGCAGACCCAAUUAGUUUAAGCAAAAGAAGAGAAAAGACCCUAUUCCAAUAUUAUAUAUAACAACACUACUACACAAACUAACAAGUUGCAAGCACAAAUAAGUAUAGACAAACACAAUAUCCAUAAGAAAUGGCAUUUGUUGAGCAGUAGCACUUAACACAGUGAACGAAAAUGCUAAGUAACAUGGAAACUAUCCUCAUUAAUAGUGUAUUGACACUUAACCAUAUAUUCAACAAACCCAAACUAAAACAAGGUCUAGGUUCUAAUAAAAUAAACAACAAUAUGGCUUAACACGUGAUCUGUAAGAUCUCACUUGCACGCUGCCGAAAAUCAACUAAGCAUAAGCUCAUUCUUUAUCAUAGUAGACUAGUACAAAGAUUGUAUAACAUAUAACCAAACCACUAGCAAUUGACUUUAAACUAAAGCAAAACUAGCACGCUAUACACAUGAAAAAUCAGCGCCAAUAAGUUCAUGCUCCACGGAAUCUUAAAAGACAAAACUUAACUUUAACAAAACUAAGAUUUUAGGCAGAAAGACGGUAUAGACUUGUUCAAAAUGGGUCAUGUUAGACAAUAGAAAGUUAGUUGAGAUUUCGCCUUUACAUGUAUAACAACAUUAACAACAACAACCCAGGAUAGCUCGAUACUCAAAGACAACAAAAUACAAGUAAAGCCAAAAAAAAAUUCAACAACAUAUAGGCGAAACCAAUUCAAGACAAGGGACGAUAAAUAUACAAAAAUAAUCUAAAACAACUCACUCGAACAUGUAAUCUAACGACUAAAACAGGACAACAUAACGUUCGACUUUAACAGAAAAGAGCUAGGUUCAUACAUUACCAUACUAAUUAAGUUCACACUGAAAGAAACCACGCCUAAUACUUCACUAAAAAUAUAAUUAGCUAAACUGAAAUAAGAGGAGAAGAGAGGUCACCUUUAUCGGAGCAGCGACUGGAACGACGAGCUCGAAGGUAGCGAUUUUCACACCUCCUAUGGAUUCCGAUAAAAAAAAAUCAAAUAAAAGCUUCGGCAAGAAGAUAAAUUAGAACUUAGAAUUGGUCCCCUUUUUUUUUUCUUUCAAUUUCCUCUCCCCAUUAACAUGAAAGAACAGAGGUAUUUAUAGGGGAGAUUCCAAUUAAAAAAAGAAGGGAAAAACGGGUUGAAAAUAUGGAUCAGAAUGAAAUUCAAAAUUUGAAAUCUUGAAGAGAUCAGAAAUAAAGCUGUCCAUUGCACCAAUUUUCAACGGAAAAAAAGGGAGAGGGGAAGAGGAGGACGCGAUUUGCUGCGGGAUUUCCGGUCUGAUCGACUGUGGAUGUUGACAUCUACUAGCUUUCUGGGUUUCGUCUGAAGAAGAAGAAGAAGAAGAAAGGAAGUGGGGUCGGGUCGGAUUGUUUCUGGCUAGCGAUGAAGGAGAAGACGCCUAAGGCGUGAUUUUGUUUGCUAUUGUGUGUAAUGCUGAAAAGUGGGGCAUUGAAAUUGGGCUUGGGUUUGUUUCUUUUUAUUAUUUUUUUAUUUUUUAUUGUUAUGGAACUGAAAAAUAUAGUGGGCUGAUUAUUGGUAGAAUUAGAUUUAGGGUGAGGUCACCAAAAUUAUAAAUUUAGCCAAAUUGAGUUUUCUUAGCAAAUUCGGCUAAAAUUUGAAUAAGAUGAAUUAAUAUUAAUUAAUUAACAAGCUUCUUAAUCUUAACGAAAUAAAAUAAUUAACUUACUUGUAAACUAAUUAAUUUAAAAUAUAAACUAUUAUAUAACUAAACUAAUUAACUAAAUAUUUAAUCAAAACAAAAUACUUUUUGAGACGAUUUUCGAAUAUUCAUAAAAUAUACUAAUUAUAUACAUAAUUAUUUAAACAUAUAUAUUAUUUAAAAAAUUAUAAAAAUGACAAAACUACUUAAAAUGACCUGAAAAUUAUUUUGAAUUUUAUAAAGCCAAUUAUUUCAAAUCAUUUGGAACUUAGGAAGCUCGAUGAUUAAUUUGUAUUGGGGAGGGUCAAAAUUGGGUGUCAACAACGGUUUCUUCUCUUGCUACGCAUGAAUCUCUUUCUCGCGAUGCAUGACUUCUUUCUCUUGCAAUGCAUGAUUUCUUCUCUUGCAAUGCAUGACUUCUUUCUCCUCGCGAUGCAUGAAUCUUUUUCUUGCGAUGCGUGAAUAUUUUCCCGCGAUGGAUGAAUCCUUCUCAUGCUAUGCAUGAAUCUUCUCUCUGAUGAUGCCAUCCCUGGAAAGCAGCGUUGCUGGGUCUUUUUUGGAGCUAAUGUAUUGGAUUAUUAGUGGGUGCAUAUUGUAUUGUUGGGAAUUGGUGGGCCGGGUCGAGGUUAUUGGGAUCAAUUGAAUUGAGAUCAAUUGAAUUGGGAAGAAGAAAAUUGGGCCUAGGAAUAAAGGGUGAGGAUUGGGCCUGCUGAAAACAGGUAAGAAAAAGCCCAAAUUUUGGUCUUUUGAUGGGUUUAAUGUGAGGUAGAAGAGUUGGCUAUGUUUGUAAUAGGAAUAAGACCAUGUGGAUUAAAGAUGUAACCAAAUUGAAUUGAUGUGAACGAAAUUGGUUAACCAUUAAAUAAAAUGAAUUAAUAUUAAUCAAUUAACAAGCUUCUUAAUCUCAACGAAAUAAAAUAAUCAACUCAAAUGUAAACUAAAUAAUUUAAAAUAAUAGCGAUUACAUUAUAUAACUAAUCUUUUUAACCAAAUAUUUAAGUAAAACUAAAUAUUUUUGGGACGAUUUUCGAAUGAUCAUAACAUAUACUAAUUAUACACAUAAUUAUGUAAAACAAAUAUAUUAUCUAAAAAUUAUAAAAGUGACAAAACUAGUUAAAAUAACCUGCAAACAAUAUAUAUAUAUAUAUAUAUAUACCAAUUAUAUACAUAAUUAUGUAAAACAUAUAUAUUAUCUAAAACUUAUAAAAGUGACAAAACUAGUUAAAAUAACCUGUAAACGAUAUGUAUAUAUAUAUAAUUUUAUAAAACUAAUUAUUUUAAAUCGUUUGAAGAUUAUGGAGCUCAAAAAUUAAUUACUAUCGGGGAGGGUCAAAAUUGGGUGUCAACAAAUGUAUUUCUCUUACUUAUUAAUUAUAAUGUAAUUAUAAAAAUAAUAACUAAUUAAUAAAUAAAAUAAAAUAAAUUAUAGAUUAAAAAUAAUCUGUUAAUACUUGUAAUUAAAAUGUUAUAAGUAGUAAUAUAAAAAAAUACAUUUAAAGAUUGUAAUAUUAAGCCUUAAAUAGAUAUGUGGAGUGAUUUUUCCUUUUUAUUAAUGUAAAUUAUCUCUUAGCAUGUAAUCCAAUUAUUAUUAUUUUUGUCUUUGGAGCCAAAAAAAUAGUGCUUUUCUUGGAAUAAUUUUUUUUCCUUUAGCACAAAGAUUCUAAUACUAGGAUUCCUUAUGUUUGGCACAAGAUCCAUACAUGACACUUAAUUCCAAUUCCUCCUCUGUUGUAAGUAUAAUAACUUUUAAGGAUUCAAAUUCAAUCAGAAGAAUCAAGUUGAAAUACAUUGCAAUAACUAAUGAUCACUCUCAACAUAUACCUUGGAUUCUUUUAAUUAUAUACUAUGAUAUGAAACAACAUUAACAUACAUAUUAAAUUCUUCACAAUUAGAGGAAAUAAACUCUUCAACAAUGUACAUCAAUAAAAUUAACUAGUACCUUCAGAAAUCAGAAUUAUUUAAAUUUCCAUUAAUCAAUUUCCGCAUUACAUAUCUCAAAGAGUUCACAUCAAUAAUCUGUUGUUCGAGAGGAUACUGAACAUCCACCUUGUAGGUGAGGGUUCGAUUCCCCACAUUAUUAUCUCCUUCCCAUUUUCCCUUCCUUGCCCCGUUUUUUUUUUAAAAAAAAAAUACUUAAUAAUAGGUUGUUCAGUUUUCAAUUUAGUAUUUCAUGAAGAGUCCUAUUCACAAAUGCCACCUUUUUGUAAUUAUUGAAAAAAAUAUUUUUGUUGCCAUCCAAUCCCGGGGCCCAGUCAUUACUGUGCGUUUUGGACAAAAAAAACCAAAGUUUUAACAUAUAGUUGGCCUAAAGCUAAUCCUAUUUUCGAUAUGCUUUGAUAAAAUGUCACCUAUCUAUAUACUAAGAAGCUAAGUAUUUCAUUGUCUUUAAUGAUGACAAACGACAAUUAGGAUUCAUUUCAUAUGAAAGUUCACAUUUUAUGUGGAAAGAGAAUAGGAAAGAACAUGUACAUAGAUUAUAGUAGAGCCAAAUUUAGAAAUUUGAAUUUAUGAUUUCGGACAGAAAAAACAACUUAUUUGAUUUCUGAAUAAUUUAUUUAUAUAUAUUAAGCAGAUUUCUUUAACAUAAAAUAAUAUAUAUUUUGACUAAAACUCUAGUAGGGAAGUUUGGUAUUUUAUAGACAGCUUAUGUGCCAAAAAUCUUAUUUUAUUUUGGAAACUAAAUUAAACAUCACGAGAUAAAAUUAGAAGAAGAGAGUAACAACUAACAACAAAAUUUCAUUGAAUUCCGAAGAAACCACAUUAAUGAUGGCAAAAAAAAAACAAAGAACCAUAGCAAUGAACUUCACUAAUAAAACUAGACGACACAUACAUAGGGGGAAAAUAACAUGAUAGAAAUUAAUAGACCUAGCUAGCAUUAAGCAAAAAUUAAUAGACCUAGCUAGCAUAGCUUAAUAAUCCUACUCCAAAAUGCCUGCUCGUAAUAAAGCACAUGCUAAUAUGAGCCUACAUCACAUCGUUUUCAACGCUAUGAGCGAACCACAUUCUCGAUUUUUCCAUCAAAUCAGGGCUCAACCUUACCAUUAGCACACAAAACUCCUUCUCAUUCAAGCAAUCAUCUCCAUUCAAAUCCCCUUCCCUCAACAUGCACAUUAGUUCAUCAUCACUCAUUCCUUCCAACCCUAACAACGCCGAAUUCCUCUUCAAGCUCUCAAACGUGAUCACUUCCCUCUCCUUAUCCAUCAAUGCCCGGAACCCGUUCUUUAGCUCAUUCAAGAACCCUUCCGACCCUAGUUUCUCCACCAUAGACGGAAAGAAAUCCUCAAACACAAAGUCACGUCCCAAUGCAGCCAUGCCUUAAAUUAAUUAACGUACACGAUGAAUUUUUAAAAAUAGAGAUUGUUGUUUUGUUAGUACAAAGGAUGAGUUGAUGAAUAAUAGAUGACUCAACAUUGGAUAUAUAUAAGAAGAGGAAAAAAAUGAGGAAAUUUAUGAGGAAGGAACAUAAUGAGGAUAAAAAUAGUCAUUUCAUAAGACAAGUUUCGUGGAAGUUGCAUGGGAAAGUACCCAAUAAAUAAUCUAUUCAUAUGAUGAUGAUGAAGUACAACACUUUUCAGAUUUGUAAGGGCAAUUUCCUAUGACUGUCCCAACAGACAAAAUAAUACUCAUGUAACGUUAAUUCACUACUCCAUUUGGUAUGUAGUUAAUUCACCUUCACCAUAUAUAUUCGUCCCCUAUAUAUAUCUUACUAACGAUUUCCUUUUCAAAUUAAUUUGCUUUUUUGGAUGGAUAGAGCUGUGGUGACCACAAUCAUUAUUCUAAUGUUUAAACAUCAAAUCUUUAUUGGACAAAAUGUUAUCAUUAGAAUUUUUAGCUUUUUUCCCGGAAAAUUAUUUCACUUUACUUCAAAAAAAUAUAACGUUUGGUCAUGAAAAUUUUAUAUAUAACUUGAAAUAGUAUUUGAAAUUUGAAAAACAUGAACCACCCAAAACCUUGUUUUUACUUUUACUAUAUUUUUCUUUUUAAUAAAUUAUUACCCUAAAUUUUUUAUUUUUAUAAAAAUAAUCUCAUUUAAAUUAUAUUUUAAAUCAAGUGACCUUAGGGGAUCCCUAAUUUAAUUGUUAAUAUUUUUUAAAGAGUAAAAUUUAGGAAUAGCAAAGAUAAAAAUCAUAUUAGCGUUUUAUAGUUACAGUUUUGCUAUUUAAGCUCCAUAACCAAAUUAUGUUUACUAUGGAACAUCUGAUUUGUAUAAAUCGGGCGCUAAUUCGUCUGUGUCUAUGAAAAUUGUGUUUGUAUAUGUAUAUGUUCUUUGUGUUAGGCUAGAGUGGCGAGCGAGUUUGGGAGAGAGAUGAGAGAAGCAAGCGAGAGAGGGCAGAGAGUAGAGAGAGGUGAAUUGUAUAUGUAUAUCAGUUAUAUAAUUGUAUAUAUGUAACUAUUAUGUAUAUGUAUCAAUGAUUGUGUUUGUAUAUCUGCAUAAAAUUUAAAUUCGUAUACAAUUGAAUCGAGUUAAAACAUUUGUAUAUCAAAUCUCUCUCACUUUACACAAAGACAAAUUAUACAAAUUGUAUAAUUUGUGUUUGUAUAAAGCGAGGGAGAGAGAAAGGCAAAAAAGAACCGGGUAAGGAAAGAUUUGUAUUUGUAAAAUUAUAAGUGUAUAGGACAGAGAUAUAUAUAUUUGUUUGUAUAUACAAUCUCUCUCGCUUUAUACAAACACAAUCAUAAAUUAUACAUUUGUGUUUGUAUAAAGUGAGCGAUAGAUUGAAAAAGAGGAGAGUGGCGAGCAAGAUUUCAGAGAGAGAGGAGAGAAGCGAAUGACAAAAAAUUUAUUGCAAAUUGGAAUUAAAUGAAACUAUAGCUAUAAUAUUUAUUUUGAAUUAAUAAUUUGUUAUAAUGCACAAUUUCCCUUUUUCUGCAGCCGGUGUAACUAUGAGUUGGACUUGAUAUUUUUUGGCCUACAAAAAUAUGAUGUCAGUCAGACUCGUCGAAUUUCAAAUCCCUGUAGGCUCAACUUGGAUGUAUUGGAUUGAUCUUUAUACAGUAUAAUUUUAUUGGAGAAAGACAUAGAUUUCUUCCUGAAUUUAUUUAGAAAAGUAAGUUAACCACUUAAAUUAUUAGGAAGACCUAUUAUAUAUCUUUACUAUUUAAAAGUGAAUUUAUUUGUCCAUGAGACGUGUAACACCACUCUCACAAUAUGUGGUGUAUUACACUCGCUGUCACAUCAACACCAUGUCAGAAAUUAAAAAAAAUUAUAUUUUUUUUUAUUUUUAAUUAACUUUUCUUUUAUUAACUAUAUUUUACACUAAUUAAUUAUUAAAAUUCUCUAAUAAUUAUAUUUUUUUUAUAGCAAAAUUACAAUAAGAUGAAAAUUUUAACAAUGGCCGCCAAUAACACUAAUCGAAACAUGGAGCUGAUUUAUGGAAUGGAAAAUUCUUCCGUUUCUCUCAAAAAAGCCCGCCAUAGCUGCAACGGCUAAGAAAUCCCCAAAAUUUUAUUCCGCCCAUGACAUUAAGAUAUCUUUUGUUAACAAACACAAAUCAAAUCCCACAAAACUUAGAUUGAUGAUAAGUAAUUUGCUAAGCAAGCUGAGAAGAAGUCGAAGAAGGAAGAAGGAUAGAUUUUUUCUUAAAAGAAAGAGGAGAAAAAUGUGCUUCAUCAAGAGGGUGGGGUUGAAGAAGAAGAAGAGGGUGGGUUGUGAAGAAGAAGAGAUGGGAAGAGUGGGGUGGGUCUAAUUGAAUUUUGAUUUUUUUUUUACUUUAAUAAAUCUGACACGCCUAUUUUUAUUAUUUUAAAAAUUAUUUUGCCACAUUAAUUUUAGGGGAUAAAUAAAUUCACUUUUAAGUAGUAAAGGUAGAUCGUCAUAAUAAUUUAAGCGUGUAACUAACUUUUCGAAACAAGUUUAAAGGGAAAUCUAUGCCUUUUCCCUAAUUUUAUUACCUAAAUAAAAUUUUAUUUAGAUAAAAAUAUAUCUAUCUGAAUCACAAAAUAAACUCCAAAGUUUCACGGCAGUUCAAAACAUCAUAAAAGUUCAAGAGAAGCUACUGGAUUUUGAACAUUUCAAACUCCAAAAAAUUCUAUUAACUUUUUGUAUUUUAGCUGUGAGUACUUUUGUCCAAAUUUAUUUACACCUUAAGAAUUUUUAUUUUUUUUCAAUUAAUAUUUUAAACAGUGGGAAAAAUUUGAAUUCAAAUUGAGGGUUGAUUUUUGUUCAUUAAAAAUGUGAAGGGGUAUUGUUUUACAAACCCAAAUUUUUAAUGGUGUGGAGUGAGUUUUUUUUAUGAUAAAUUUGAUUAAGUGAUUUAUAAGAGAAAAAUCUAAGUUAAGUUUCCUUACUUUUACAAAAUAAAACUAAUUGACAUUGCUAUAUAAUUCUUCAUAGUUGAGUGAUCUAUUGAAAUAUUUAUCCAUUUUUAUUAGUCCAGCUUGAAAAACUAAAGAGAUAAUUUUUCAUUUAAUACAUGUUUAGCCCUAAUUAUUAAGUACUACUUAUAAUUUCUAACUCAUUUCGAUAUUUAAUGACAAAAACCAAAGGAUACUUUCCAGUUUCCACUAUUACCUUUUUUAUUACUUUCAAACAGUUCUUUAAGAAAAUUGUUAAUAGUAGUGACUUAAAAAGAUAAGCAAAGAAUAUAAGUCAGUUAGGAUUAGUAACUAACUGUUAGUUAAGUUAGUUAUGCCUUACUAGUUUGUUACAAGCUUACAAACUAUUGUGUAUAAAUAGAGAUAUGUACAUAUUGAAUACAUGAUGAAGAAAUAAUAAGAAUGAAAGCAUAGAGUGUUUAACUCUAGCAAGAUACAUCUUCUUUUAAAGAUUACUUCAUCUUCUUCCUGAUCUCUAUUACUUCUUCUUACUUUCAUUGUUCUUCUUCUUCUCCCCUAAUUCUAAGCUUCAUAAAACUACAUGGUAUCAGAGCUUUCAAGCAAGUAAUCCAGUGCUUGAUUCAUACGAUUCUGUGACUAUUCGACAGGAGUGAUUACAGAUCAACUACGUGAAGGUACAGUUCAAGAAUGACACCAAACUCUGCAGAUUCACAGGCACAACCUACAACUUCUGGUAUAGGUGCUGCAAUUGUGAUAGAUCACAAUCAUCCCCUGUUUCUGCAUGCAUCUGAUGUAAGUGGAGUACAAAUUGUAUCGUUUCAGUUGACUGGAAUUCAGAAUUACUAAGUUUGGUUUAGGUCAAUGAAAAUUGCGUUGCUAGGAAGGAACAAAUUGGGGAUGGUUGAUGGGUCAUGUAAAAAGGAGGAUUUCCCAAGAUUAGAAAAUAAUUGGGAAAGAGUCAAUGCCAUAGUGUUAUCUUGGAUCAUGAAUUCUGUGUCAAAAAGCUUGUUAGGAGGCAUAAUGUAUGCUUCGAAUGCUCGAGUAGUAUGGGAUGAUAUGUUUGAAAGGUUCAACAAGAUCGAUGAGUCAAGAACCUUUAAUCUGCACAAGCAAAUUGCAACUUUAAGCCAAGGCACAAGUUCUGUAUCUGCUUACUACUCUAAGCUCAAAGGCCUAUGGGAAGAAUUCGAGGCCUUAGUUCUAGCACCAGGGUGUGCUUGUGCAGGUUCAAAAGAGUAUGUUGUGCAUCUUCAAACUCUGAAAUUGUUUCAAUUCCUGAUGGGGCUAAAUGACUCUUACUUGCAAGCAAGAAGUCAAAUUCUUAUGUUAAAACCAGUACCUAUUGUCAAUCAGGCAUAUUCCAUGAUUCUGAGUGAUGAAAGUCAGAGAUCAGUGGUAGCUAAUGCAGGAGUAUUAGGUACAGGACCAGCCAACUUGCAGAGUUCGUUUGAUGCUGUCAUGUACUCAAGAACAAAUGGGGCUCAACAGAGGUUCAAGAAAGGGUAUAAUCUGGUGUGUGAUUUUUGCAAAAUUAAAGGGCAUACUAGAGAAAAUUGUUACAAGAUUAUUGGAUACCCACAGGACUUUAAGUUCAAAAAGAAAGGAAGUAGUAAUUCUGCAUACAAUGUAACUGGAGAGGUUGAUGAUAGUGUGAAGUCAAGUACAUGUACUAACUCUAGUGAUGCAAGAUAUGGACACAUGAGAGGUGAUGAAGAAUUCAGAACUCAGAGUCAACUGGACUCGUGUGCAUUGACUAGAGAACAAUAUGCUCAAAUUUUGCAGUUGCUUGAGAAAAAAUCAGAAGUUCCACAUUGUGUAAAUGCAGCAGGUAUGAACUCUACUCUAGUAGCUACUUCUAACAAUUGUUCAGGUUGGAUCAUAGACACAGGAGCCACUAAUCAUGUGGUGGAUGACUUGAAUCUUUUAAAAAGACAUUCCAUAUGUAAGGUUGCAACUCCAAAGAAGGUACACCUUCCCAAUGGUGAUAAAGUUGUGGUGACUCACUUAGGGUCGAGUACACUAGAUUGAAACAAUACAGUUUCAGAAGUGUUUUACAUUCCUCAAUUUAAGUUCAAUAUCUUGUCUGUUGCAAAGUUAACAAAAGAGUUGAAUUGUUCAGCUUCAUUUUUCCCUGAUUUUUGCCUAUUUUUGGAACUCUUCAGUGGAAAGGUGAAGAUGAUUGGUAAAGAGGAUGGAGGAUUGUAUAUUAUGUCCAACAAUAUAGAUAAGGAAGAAGUUGUGUUAGCAGCUGCACACACUGAGCAUAAAGCUAGAAUUACUGAAAAAAUAGAUACACAGUUAUUACAUCAGAGGCUUGCUCAUGUUUCUAGUUUUGUUCUAAAAAGGCUAUUAAGUCAUAGUUUAGCUGACAUUACAAAGAUUGUAAGCAAAUGUGUUGUAUGUCCUUGUGCUAAACAAGCAAGAUUGCCUUUUCUUGUUAGUACAUCCAGUAGCUUAAACAGUUUUGAUAUGUUACACAUGGAUUUAUGGGGUCCUUAUAAAAAGCCUACAUUUGAUGUAUUUAAAUACUUCUUAACUGUUGUGGAUGAUCACUCUAGAAUGACUUGGAUUUUCUUAUUAAGAAUGAAGUCUGAUGUAUGUACCAUUUUGAAGUCUUUCUUAGCAUAUAUAAGAACUCAGUUUGAUAAACAAGUAAAGAUUAUUAGAAAUGACAAUGGUACUGAAUUUGUGAAUACAAAUUGUAAUGACUUGUUUAAAGGUUUAGGCAUAGUACAUCAAACUUCUUGUGCGUAUACACCCGAGCAAAAUGGGGUGGCUGAAAGAAAGCAUAGGCAUAUUCUAGAGAUUACAAGAGCUAUAAGGUUCCAAGCUAAUGUUCCUUUAGAGUUAUGGGGUUUAUGUGUGAAAACUGCAGUAUAUAUAAUCAACAGAUUACCUAGCAGUGUGAUUGCAGACUUCUCUCCUUUUGAGAAACUUUAUAAUAAACAACCUUCAAUACAUCAUUUAAGAGUAUUUGGAUGCCUAUGUUUUGCUAAGAAGGUACAUGAGAGUGACAAAUUAAAGUCUAAGUCUACUGCUUGUGUUCUUAUGGGAUAUGCUGAAACUCAAAAAGGUUAUGUUUUAUAUGAUUUAUCUAAUAAGGUUUUUUUUGUUAACAGAGAUGUAGUGUUCAAGAAGAGGUUUUUCCAUUCAAAAUGAAAUCAACUGAGUUAGUUCCUAUGUUUACUUAUAAUGGUAUAAAUCUUGAGAGUGAUGGUAUGGUAGAUAGUUCAGACAAUAAUCUAACACCACAUUUCUAUCAAAACACACCUGUGGACAUGGUGUCUCAAGAACAAGAGGAGAAUUGUGAGGUGGAGGUACAUGAAGAAGGGCAGAUAGAACUAGUACCUCAAACUGGGGUGAGAAAGUCAGGCAGAGGGACUAAGCCACCUUUGUGGAUGAAAGAUUUUGUGUCUCUAAAUGUCCAUGAGGGUCCAUAUAGUCUUGACAAGUAUGUAUCGUACAACAAUAUUGCUCCUACUUAUCAAACAUAUUUGGCAAAAAUGUCCAAUAAAACAGAACCACAGUCAGAGAAGCAUCAUCUGAUCCUAGGUGGACUGAAGCAAUGAAUGCUGAGAUUAAAGCAUUACAAGAGAAUCACACUUGGGAAGUAGUUGAGUUACCCGAAGGUAAGACACAUAUAGGCUGCAGAUGGAUAUUCAAGGUCAAAUACAAGGCUAAUGGAGAUGUGGAAUGAUUUAAAGCAAGGUUGGUGGCAAAAGGGUAUAGUCAGAAAGAAGGUAUAGAUUACUAAGAAACAUUUAGUCCUGUUGUUAUGAUGCAGACAGUCAGGACUGUUUUGGGUAUAGCUGCACAAAGACAUUGGCAAAUACAUCAAAUGGAUGUAUUUAAUGCAUUCCUUUAAGGCGACUUACCUGAUGAGAUCUACAUGGAACUACCUCAGGGAUUUGAGAGCCAGGGGGAGAACAAAGUAUGUAGACUCACUAAAUCCCUGUAUGGGUUGAAACAAGCUCCUAGACAAUGGAAUGCAAAGUUGUCCGAGGCAUUAUUGAGGUUCCAGUUCAAACAAAGUGAACAUGAUCAUUCUUUAUUCACCAAACAAACAUCAAUAGGGUCUGUAUUUGUUCUUAUAUAUGUUGAUGACAUGCUUAUUACAGGAAGCAGUGGUCAACUCAUUGAAGAAACAAAAAAGAAGUUGAGUCAAACCUUUAAGAUGAAGGACCUAGGUGAGCUAAGAUAUUUCCUAGGAAUUGAGUUUGCAAUGUCAAGUAAAGGGAUACUAAUGCAUCAGAGGAAAUAUGCUUUAGAACUUAUCUCUGAAACAGGACUGGGAAAUUCAAAACCAGCAGUGACUCCUAUUGACAACAACAACAAAUUGACUUCAAAAUAUUAUGAUGAUCAGUUCAAUUCAGAAAGUUCAAAAGAAGAUCCUCCAGCUGAUCAAAAUGCUUCUCAGAGAUUGAUAGGAAAACUUCUUUACCUUACUAUGACAAGGCCUGAUAUUUCAUUUGGAGUGCAGACCUUGAGUUAAUUUCUACAACAACCUAAACAGACUCACAUGGAAGCAGUUGAGAAUUGUCAGGUAUAUAAAAGGGCAGCCUGGUCAAGGAAUACUUCUAUCUAGUGUACAAGACAACAAUAUCACAGUUUUUUGUGAUGCAGACUGGGCAUCAUGUCCUCUUACAAGAAAGUCUGUAACAAGAUACUUUAUCAAGCUUGGCAAUUCUGUUAUAUCAUGGAAAUCUAAGAAACAGUCUACUGUUUCUAGAAGUUCAGCCGAAGCUGAAUACAGAAGUAUAGCCACAACUGUAACUGAAGUAAUUUGGAUGAUAGGUCUGAUGAAUGAUCUAGGUAUUGAGAUACAGAAACCUAUAGAUGUGUGUACAGACAGUAAAGCAGCAAUCUUGCUAGCUGCUAAUCCUGUAUAUUGUUUUAUUUGGAAAAUAUAUUUUGGACUGGUUUUAGAGUCGCCACUUAAUAUUUUAAGAAAAAAUCAAGAAAACUAUUGUUUUCAAAAGACUAAAACAGAAAUCUAGUGAAAACUUUAAAAGGGUUCGAGGUUCUUAUUAAUAUUCUAGGAAGGUUUUUAAGGCACCUAGAAUAUCCGCUAAUGCGAUUAUCCGACAAUUAAUUAAUUUGGCUAAAAUAAUUUUAACUUAACUUAAAUUGCCAAAUUGAAUUAUUCUAUAGUUAGAACUAUUUAAAAAAGGGAAAGAGAAAUAUGGAACUACUAUCUAAGUGAGAGAAUUCGUAAAAUUUAUUCUUUUAAGUCUUUUGAAAGAUGAUCGGCUUAGUUAAGUUGUUAAAAACGAAAUGAGCGUCUUUCGGGGAUUUGAACUUUUCAACCCUAAGAUUAACGACAAAUACUAACAAGCAAAACAAAUACAGUGAAGUAAAGAGGGAAAGAGGGUUGGACCCAAAUCUGGUUUCUGUCCGCCUGGACCAGUAUUUGGGCCCAUUUUCGUUUUGGGCCUUCGGCCCAUUUCCACACAUGUCCUAGACUAAUAAUAUUGGGUUUGUGGCUCAAUUUCUCUCUUGGUACCUGUCCUAACAACUAUCAAAUAAUGAUAAUUAAAACGCAAAGGGCUUAGGCCCAAAAGUAACAAAAUACAAUUUUUAAAAAUAAAAGUGGGCUUGUUGGCCCAAUUUCUUCAACUCUCUGAUUCGAUGCAUAUUUUCAGGCUCCGGGACCUGUUCGUUGAUUUUUAUAGCCGGCUGACUCAAUAAAGAGAAGCACAAUCCCCGAAAUGCAAGGAUAGGAAGUGGAGCCCCCAUGGACUCAAGAGGGGUUCACAUCUGACAAGAAAGAGAAAGAAAGGGAAAACAAAUUAGCGAAUUUAAUUUUUUCAAUGACCUGAAAAAAGAGCAUAUUUAAAGAACUUUAACACCAACUCAAUCAAAUAAGUGAUCCCAAGCAUAGAAAAGAAUCACACCGAGUUAAUGUAUUAAAAUCUUGUGUAGACAAAUAAUUAUUUUAUCAUAAAAAGAGGGAAUGAAAUAAUAUAAUGAAAAUAUUAGCAUUCAUUUUUCUACUGCCUGGUGACUGCAAAUAAUAAAGGAAAUAUGGAUAUGCAUUCUUGAUAGUGAAAGAACUAGCACGGGCUUCAUGCAAAACGAGAAGAGCACAAAUAGUAAGAAGCAGCACAUGUUGGUAAUUAUAUUCAUGAAGUAAACGGAACUAUGACCACCAUUAAAUUAUGCCUCAAAAUUCCCCGGAGACAGUAAACAAAUGAAAAUCUAAUUCACUGAUUGACAUAAUCCUAUCAUAGCACUAAAAAAUUAUGAAUGUCGUGCAAACUUAAGAAUUAAUAAAUUCUAACUUUCAAAAGAGGAGAGAAAGGAACAAUGAAACGUUAAAAGAGACAACCAUUGACCGACUAAGCAUCUUCAAUAAUCAGGUGACUAAAAAUCUGAGACUUGCCACUAUGGUGCAGAACAGAACAAUGUUGAUGAACAAAAUUCAUUUUAUUUUUUAUUUUUUUUAGCACACAAUGGAUUACAAAUAUAGACGUAACAAGACAUAAAGAUAAUGCUAGCCAUUUGGGAAGAAACAAGAACUAGAAGUGGACAUUUUAUAACUUCAAACUACAAGGGGUAAGCAAUUAUUUUCACUUGGAAUAAGCCGAACAAAGGCAUAAAAAUGGCUCAAAUAUGACAACCAAAACAGCAAGAAAUUUGUUGGAAACCCGAGUUGCCAUGAUAAGAGGAUUCAAACUAAAACCCGAAAAAAAAAAAAACCUGCUGCUAUCACGGAAAGGAUAAAUCUAAGCUCAAGUGAGUAAUAUGGGAAACACAAGCAUCCUUUAACUUGACGUGAAUCUCGAUUCGAUGAUUUAAACCUCAUAUAGGACAAGUUUAGACCAUACUACCAAUAAAUGAGACAAUUUAACCGAAAAUCACAAAUUUCAAAGCAUGAAAGUUUAAAUAGAAAACUCAAACUGGACAGAAUCUGAUGCAAAUCAUACAAGCAUAGGGUAAGAUUUGAAUGACCAAGUUUGUGCGAUAAAAAAAAAAACCAUACAUGAAUCUGCCACGUAAUUCAAACAUGAAGCAAGAACUAAGCCAUAUCUAUUCGACCAAACUUGAAUGACAAGAAAAUUAUAUAAUCUAUUAAAACAUGCCAAAUUUAGAGCUAAUGAAAACAGAUAAAUCAACACAUAGAGAGUUUUUCCAACUUGACAUAAUCAUGCUUCAAACAAAC